rnacentral:rRNA from 1 species
UGGGGAAUUUUGGACAAUGGGCGAAAGCCUGAUCCAGCAAUGCCGCGUGUGUGAAGAAGGCCUUCGGGUUGUAAAGCACUUUUUGUCCGGAAAGAAAUCCUUGGCUCUAAUACAGUCGGGGGAUGACGGUACCGGAAGAAUAAGCACCGGCUAACUACGUGCCAGCAGCCGCGGUAAUACGUAGGGUGCAAGCGUUAAUCGGAAUUACUGGGCGUAAAGCGUGCGCGGGCGGUUUGCUAAGACCGAUGUGAAAUCCCCGGGCUCAACCUGGGAACUGCAUUGGUGACUGGCAGGCUAGAGUAUGGCAGAGGGGGGUAGAAUUCCACGUGUAGCAGUGAAAUGCGUAGAGAUGUGGAGGAAUACCGAUGGCGAAGGCAGCCCCCUGGGCCAAUACUGACGCUCAUGCACGAAAGCGUGGGGAGCAAACAGGAUUAGAUACCCUGGUAGUCCACGCCCUAAACGAUGUCAACUAGUUGUUGGGGAUUCAUUUCCUUAGUAACGUAGCUAACGCGUGAAGUUGACCGCCUGGGGAGUACGUCGCAAGAUUAAAACUCAAAUGAAUUGACGGGGUC